rnacentral:rRNA from 1 species
CCUACGGGGGGCAGCAGUAAGGGAUAUUGGUCAAUGGGGGAAACCCUGAACCAGCAACGCCGCGUGAGGGAAGACGGUUUUCGGAUUGUAAACCUCUGUCCUCUGUGAAGAAUAAUGACGGUAGCUAAGGAGCAAGCCACGGCUAACUACGUGCCAGCAGCCGCGGUAAUACGUAGGUGGCAAGCGUUGUCCGGAAUUACUGGGUGUAAAGGGAGCGCAGGCGGGAAGCCAAGUCAGCUGUGAAAACUACGGGCUUAACUUGUAGACUGCAGUUGAAACUGGUUUUCUUGAGUGAAGUAGAGGUUGGCGGAAUUCCGAGUGUAGCGGUGAAAUGCGUAGAUAUUCGGAGGAACACCGGUGGCGAAGGCGGCCAACUGGGCUUUAACUGACGCUGAGGCUCGAAAGUGUGGGGAGCAAACAGGAUUAGAUACCCUUGUAGUC